rnacentral:lncRNA from 1 species
UUUUUUUUUUUUUUUUUUUCAGAGGUUUUGGUAACCUAGUUUAUAUACCCUUGUUCUUCAUUGCUUUAAAGAUGCCCAGACUUUCUAGAUGUAUUAAAAGUAUAAUUUCUCAGAGUUAGAACACCACCAAAUCAGUUCAAAAAUUCACUCACUUCUAACACUUACAUGGUUUGCUUCCAAAAGUAGCAAAAGCUUAAUAGCCAGAAAAGAUAGAUAUGACAAGAUUCUCAAACUGCCAAGAAUUUCUUGAAGUAACAUGGGAACAGGAACAAAGUCAUGAGCCUGUAGCCAUUCCCAGAAAAGUUUGAAGAUUUAAGCAUCUUUGGUAUCAAAGACUUAUUUGUUUUCAGCAUCAGUUGUAUCAGUAAAUUAUAAGAAAACUGAAAAGUUACUAAUUGAUUUGGGACUGGUGGAGCCCAUUUCUCCUGUAAGAGGAAUAUCAUGUGUUUUCCGUGGCUGAUGAAAUUAAAAUCUUAUUAUGUUGUUAUACAUUUACUCAACAGUUCAAAUCUUUUAAAAAAAUAAUUAAAUAAAAGACCUGUGAAAAAGCAUAACAUUUAUAAUAGAAAGGGGUGUAGGGGACAUCUUGUCCAAAGUCGGGUCCCACAAAAGCCUGUAAUUGUCAGCUUCGUGAAAUAAUCCUACUGAAGUCUGUACAGUACAAGAAGCCACAUUCUCCACAGAUAUUAGAAAAGCCAUCCUGGAGAAUGAAGGACACUGACUAGAACUAAAUAAUUUAGGCUGAGCUCUAAGAAAUGACAGUCCAGUAAGUUAUUUAAUACAUGGUGGGUAAACAUUUCCUGGCUUGGUGAAUCCAGCUGCUCUCUCACUUCCUUUCCACAGCAAGAUGGGGAGAAAAUAUGAUAAAAAAGCUCGUGGGUUGAGAUAAGAAUAUGGAGAUCAUUCACCAAAUAUCACCAAAAGCAAAAUAAACUUGACCACAAGAUUAAUUAGAGUGGGUUAGUGAGAAACAAAAAAACAAAACAAAUAUAACUCCACACACCCUUUUCUUCCUAGGCUCACCUUCACUCCAAUCAUCCUCUUUCCCAAGCAGCACAGGGAAGAUGGUGAACAGGGUUGAGGACAGUUCUUAGCACUUCAUCUUUGCUGCUUCUUCCUCCUCACAACUUUCCCCUUCUCCAGUGCUGGGUCGCUCCCACAGGCUUCAGCCCUUCAUGAACCGAUCCAGCAUAGGUACUUUCUAUAGGCUGCAGUUCUCCAAGAACUGCUUCAGCAUGGGUUCGCACCACUUCAGAAGUGGACUGUUCCAGCAUGGGUGCCUUACGGGCCAAUCUUUGUUCUAGUCUCUGCAGCUGGGUCCUCUUCUCACAGCAGCCCUACUGCUACCAACCUUGCCACGUAAGCCGCCAUACAAUGGCAUGCCCCAGGAAACGUUGGACUAUCCACUGGAAUUGAACGAGUAAUUACUCAAUUCACCUUUUAGAAUAGGAAUGUUCAAAAUAGAUGCUGUCACUACCCUGGAAACAUCAAUUGUUAUAUCAUAAGACCAGCACUAAAACUUACUUUUUAAAGAUGUUCUUACGAUAAAGCAACAGAUCAAGAUCCAAGGCAAAUUGCAGCCUCACUUAGUGACUUAAAAAACAAACAAACAAACAAACAAACAAACAAAAAAAACAGCAGUCAGAGCACUUCAAGACAUAUAUGUUAAAGAAAAAACAACUGCAUCAAGAUUAAUCUGAGUCAUACAGGAGAAUCAUGUUCUGCCUAAUAGAAGAGUAGUAAAAUCUGUUACAUCGUGUGUUGCAUGAUAUACAAUGAACUAGUGGUGAAAGAAUGAGAUCCCUUCUUCAUUAAGUAGAACUACAUCAUCAGUUAUUUAUUAAGGCAAAGAAGUCAUUAGACUUUACUUAGAAAUGAAAAUAAAGUUAUCAGUCCCAUACUGAUAAUGUCCCAGGCAUUCACCUGCUCUUGUCUGAAUACCUUAUUUCUCUUUAUAUUACAUUGUGAGGAGUCAGUCUUUACUUUGCUCUAACACUUGUACGUAAGUAAAGUGGGUAUAAAAUGUAAUCAUGUCAAAAAAUGAUAGCAUUUCCCACCCACUCUGCAAGAAGGAUUAUGGUCUGUCUAAGUCAGCCAGGGAAUUUGGUCCAGAGCGUCUUGUGGCAGCUUUUUCCAACAUAAUCCAAUUAAAGUGAACCUUGUGCUGUCUUCCAUGCAGUAUUCUAUAUAGAAAUAUAUAGUCAAAUUUAGGGAGCUCAGAGCUAAAUGAGAUUUAUUUUUAACGUUUUAAUUGCUAACACAGUAGAGCUGAAUAAACUAACUGCAACUUCCACAUUUUUCUAGAAAUAAAUUGUUGAAAAAUGUUAGUUACUGCAGUUCCUUGGAAGUCAUGUCUUACAGUGACAGAUUUCUUUUCCCUCCUGUAUAUAAUAUUUGUACAAAUGACAAGAACAAGUAGAAGCAUGUAGGAUAUUUGUAACAUUUUACUAGGGAAUUACAUUUGCAUGUAUUUUCCAGGAUUUUCAUAAUAGACAUCUGUAUUUAGGAGUUCAUAACUCCAGGAUAAAUUCCAUUCUUGACUGGAACCUGGAAAACAGAUUCUCCACUCCAGAGGUACUUGGAGUGGAGCUAUAAAAAGCUAUAAUAUUCGGAAUGGAUAUGCAUUGCUUAUUACAGAAAUGACAUCAAAAGUGAAGAAAGAUGAAACUUUUUGUCUUAGUAUAUACCAAUGGGAAUCCUGUGAGCUUUAGAACAUGAUUUCAUAUUCCAUUAUAUGGAAUAUAAAGAAAGAAUACUUCAUCCUUCCUGAAAGAGGAAAUUAACAUAUGCUUUAAGAGAAGAAUGGAAGGCUUUCAAAAUGGAAGGGUUUCCUCCUUUCCUUGAGUUAGAUAGGUCAUAACUACAUCUAGAUGUGUUAAUAACUGGGAAUGAAGUCUGAAAUGAAUUGUAUGUGAGAAUCAAGAAUUACGUAAGCACAUUUGAUGAAAAUUUGAAACAAGGUCUAAGAUAGAAUCAAUCCAUAGAAGAUUCAUAAGUAGAAAGAAGUCUCACUCAUUAAAUAGUUGGUGUUUUCUUUUUGUUUGUUUGUUUUUUUGUAAGUACCAGGAAAGUGAUUUACAGAAAAAAAAAUGAUUGUGCUAUGUGUUAACAUAAUUAACACUUGUUAAGCAGGACUGAUACACAAAGGAAAAAUAGAAACCAACAUAUGACAUUCAGCUACUUUGAAAUUUUGUUUUGGUUUAUCUGAUAAGAUUUACUGUCAGAGUGCAGUGUCAAAAAACAAGUGACUAAGUUACCCCCCAGUGUUGCAAUGGAAUAAAAAUCUGUUAACAGUCUGCAUGUCAGUAUUCUUUUGCAAUGACCAUUUUAAAUCUCAAGGCUAAAGACACUCUCAAAUGAAGUACAUCAACUACCAAAUAAUUUAAAAGGUCAUGAAGAAAGUUAUGCUUGAGUAGUGUUAUAACAAAUAAGCAAACCAAACAAGCAAUAGCUCACCCAUUUCCCCUUUCUGCCUCACUUAGCACCAUCCCUCCUUCCACGCAGUGGGGUUUGAAGCCUCGGAUAAUAAAAGCUGUCAUGUGUUUAUUAAGGUCACGAACAUGCAACACCUGAAUGAUCUCGAUAUCCUUGGUACAAGUCCUGAAACGUAAGUCAGCCACAUUUGUCUUUUUAACAGCAGCAAUAGUACACACACAUUUUAUAACACACGUACAACUUGGACAGUGGCAAUAUUUACACUCUUCCUAAAUGUUUUAGAUAAAAGGUGGAAAUCAAACCUCUUCCAUAUUCAUCUACCUGCCCCACCAUCUUACUGAAGUCCUCAAGCAUUGUACCCUAUAUUAUUUAUGCAUCAAGUCAUAAGUAUAACCUAUAUACUUAGAAGCCUCUAAGUAUUACCUACGGCAGCUUCAUGAAUCUAAUUCAGACAGGCUUUUAUACAUGACAAACAUUAAUCAGCUUAUAAAUCUGGAUGUAGAAGUUUAUCUUAAGAAAAACGUAGUAAUUUAACGCAUGUUGUACACUGCAGUUAUAUUUUGUCCACCACUACUCAUAAUGCUGUAUCAUUAAGCAUGUUUAAUUUCACUUAAAGCAGUCAGGCAGUGAACACUAAAGCCUUCCUCAGAUAUCAUAUAACCCAGUAAGCCUUAGGAACCACUGGAUAAAGCAUGCAGUUUGAGAAUAGGGCUAAAUACAAAGAUAGCACAACUUUUGGAAGAGUUUGUGUCUGUUCAUGUCUCAAUGACCAACCAACAAGCAUAUAUUAACAAGUUUGUCACAGAUAAUACUUGUAAUUCAUAGCAAGGCAUGCU